rnacentral:rRNA from 1 species
GCUACGGGAGGCAGCAGUGAGGAAUAUUGGUCAAUGGGCGAGCGCCUGAACCAGCCAAGUCGCGUGAAGGAUGACGGCCCUACGGGUUGUAAACUUCUUUUGUCAAGGAGCAAUUGGGUCCACGCGUGGGCUUAGCGAGAGUACCUGAAGAAAAAGCAUCGGCUAACUCCGUGCCAGCAGCCGCGGUAAUACGGAGGAUGCGAGCGUUAUCCGGCAUGACUGGGCGUAAAGGGUGCGUAGGUGGUUUGAUAAGUUGGUAGCGUAACUUCGAGGCUCAACCUCCGCACCACUACCAACACUGUCGGACUUGAGUGCAGGAGGGGCAACUGGAAUUCCGAGUGUAGCGGUGGAAUGCGGAGAUAUUAGGAGGAACACCAGUGGCGAAGGCGAGUUGCUGGACUGUAACUGACACUGAGGCACGAAAGCGUGGGGAGCAAACAGGAUUAGAUACCCCAGUAGUC